UCCAACCUACGGGGGGCAGCAGUGAGGAAUAUUGGUCAAUGGCCGAGAGGCUGAACCAGCCACGUCGCGUGAGGGAAGACGGCCCUACGGGUUGUAAACCUCUUUUGUCGGGGAGCAAAGAGAGUCACGUGUGACUCAUUGAGAGUACCCGAAGAAAAAGCAUCGGCUAACUCCGUGCCAGCAGCCGCGGUAAUACGGAGGAUGCGAGCGUUAUCCGGAUUUAUUGGGUUUAAAGGGAGCGUAGGCCGGCUUUUAAGUCAGCUGUGAAAGUCCGCGGCUCAACCGUGGAAUUGCAGUUGAAACUG
rnacentral:rRNA from 1 species